rnacentral:rRNA from 1 species
UACGGAGGGUGCAAGCGUUAUCCGGAUUCACUGGGUUUAAAGGGUGCGUAGGCGGAUUUUUAAGUCCGUGGUGAAAUCUCCGAGCUUAACUCGGAAACUGCCAUGGAUACUAUAAGUCUUGAAUGUUGUGGAGGUUUGCGGAAUAUGUCAUGUAGCGGUGAAAUGCUUAGAUAUGACAUAGAACACCAAUUGCGAAGGCAGCUGGCUACACAAAUAUUGACGCUGAUGCACGAAAGCGUGGAUCAAACAGG